UACGUAGGUGGCAAGCGUUGUCCGGAUUUACUGGGCGUAAAGAGCGCGCAGGCGGUCGAUUAAGUCGAAUGUGAAAGCCCCCGGCUCAACUGGGGAGGGUCAUUCGAUACUGAUCGACUUGAAGGCAGGAGAGGGAAGUGGAAUUCCGGGUGUAGUGGUGAAAUGCGUAGAUAUCCGGAGGAACACCAGUGGCGAAGGCGACUUCCUGGCCUGUUCUUGACGCUGAGGCGCGAAAGCUGGGGGAGCAAACGGG
rnacentral:rRNA from 1 species